rnacentral:rRNA from 1 species
AACGAACGCUGGCGGCAUGCCUAACACAUGCAAGUCGAACGAGACCUUCGGGUCUAGUGGCGCACGGGUGCGUAACGCGUGGGAACCUGCCCUUAGGUUCGGAAUAACUCCCCGAAAGGGGUGCUAAUACCGGAUAAUGUCUUCGGACCAAAGAUUUAUCGCCUUUGGAUGGGCCCGCGUUGGAUUAGCUAGUUGGUAGGGUAAAAGCCUACCAAGGCGACGAUCCAUAGCUGGUCUGAGAGGAGGAUCAGCCACACUGGGAAUGAGACACGGCCCAGACUCCUACGGGAGGCAGCAGUGGGGAAUAUUGGACAAUGGGCGAAAGCCUGAUCAAGCAAGGCCGCGUGAGUGAUGAAGGGCUUAGGGUUGUAAAGCUCUUUUACCCGGGAUGAUAAUGACAGUACCGGGAGAAUAAGCUCCGGCUAACUCCGUG